rnacentral:lncRNA from 1 species
UUGAAGUUGGCUCUUUGGUAUAUAGUCCUCACUGGAAUCUCAGAGGCAAUUGAACUAUUUGACACUAACUGCUUUGGAACGAUAAAUAACUUCAGGAUAGGUGUUUGAGUUGGGUUUGUAAGCCAUGAAUAUUUCUAAGUUUAAUGUGUUGAAUUCCUGUCUAGACCUUCAUAUUAUUAGCAUUUCCAUCACAGAUCAGCCAGAAAGGACAACAGGAAAAACCUCCAACUGAAGUCCUCGUGCAGCCUCAACAGUGAAGGGCCAGAUUUCAGGAUGGCAGGUCCUUGUGUAGCCCAAAAUGCAUUCUUCCUCAAUUAGAAACCUUCCUUUUUCAGGAAUAAGAGUCAUAUUUGAGAAGUCAGUAUUUGAGACUGCAUAUUUGUCCCAAAAUGCAAAGCUCACUGAGAGAGCCAUUAUUUUUUAUUCUGAAGAGAAUCGUAACCAUGCUUUAGAAAUUGGAUAAAACCAUCUACGGGUCUUCAUUACAUUUUUGCCAAAUCUGCCCCAGGUUAUCUAAUGCCCAGGAGUCAUGACCUCAGAAGCACUUGCCAAGCACUGGCUUCUGAAUCACUUUUUGUCACUUCUUAUUUGAUUGAGUACCUAUGCUCAUGAACAUACAUGAAAGAGCUGUCAGCAAUGAUCAUCCCACUCCAUCCAGGCAUACUAGACUCAUCUUAUAACCCAAACAACCUACACACUAUCCAGUGACAGGUUAUUGAAUGUAAUACAGCAAUUUCUCCAUCAUUCAUUGGAACUGAGAGAAAUCUAGAGGAAGUGACUUCCAGUAGAACAGAUUUUGUGGAAGCCGAAUAUACCUUUCAAAGUAUAUAGUUCACAAUGUACCCUGGAUUAGAAACAGCAAGCAAUUGACUUUGGAUGAUCAUUGCAACACUAAUUACGAAGGAUUUAAAGAUGUUCACAUCACACUGGUCCAAAUUUAAAACAGUUUCUCCCUCUUGCUGAUGAGCCCCAGCUGUGGUAGUAAAGAGCUUGGGAUUUGUAGUUACAUUAUAGUAUUUGGCAAAGACACUUUUUAGUGUCUAGGC